CUCCUCUUUUUCUCUUAAAAAUCUAUUUAUACCCUAUGAAUUUUAUCCUUUCAGAUGGAUCAACUAGUGUCCAUACACCAUUGAUCUCCAUGGAUUCUAUCUCGAACUUCAUGGCCUUAAGCCAUUUUUGAAAGUAGAGCCUUUGCAUGACCUCCAUAUAGAUGAUUGAAUCCUCAUCAUUCUCAUCAAGUUCGAUAGGGUCACCGUCCUAGAUCAAGAAAUCAUAGUAUCUGUUUGGCUGAUGUGGUACUCUAUCGGAUCUUCUUAAUGGUACC
rnacentral:lncRNA from 1 species